ACAGGCUGUCUGAUCCCACGGU
rnacentral:miRNA from 1 species